rnacentral:rRNA from 1 species
GACGAACGCUGGCGGCGUGCUUAACACAUGCAAGUCGAACGAUGAAGCCUAGCUUGCUAGGUGGAUUAGUGGCGAACGGGUGAGUAAUACGUGAGUAACCUACCUUUAACUCUGGGAUAAGCCUGGGAAACUGGGUCUAAUACCGGAUACGACCAAUCUCCGCAUGGGGUGUUGGUGGAAAGCGUUAUGUAGUGGUUAUAGAUGGGCUCACGGCCUAUCAGCUUGUUGGUGAGGUAACGGCUCACCAAGGCGGCGACGGGUAGCCGGCCUGAGAGGGUGACCGGCCACACUGGGACUGAGACACGGCCCAGACUCCUACGGGAGGCAGCAGUGGGGAAUAUUGCACAAUGGGCGCAAGCCUGAUGCAGCGACGCCGCGUGAGGGAUGACGGCCUUCGGGUUGUAAACCUCUGUUAGCAGGGAAGAAGAGAAAUUGACGGUACCUGCAGAGAAAGCGCCGGCUAACUACGUGCCAGCAGCCGCGGUAAUACGUAGGGCGCGAGCGUUGUCCGGAAUUAUUGGGCGUAAAGAGCUUGUAGGCGGUUUGUCGCGUCUGCUGUGAAGGCCGGGGCUUAACCCCGUGUAUUGCAGUGGGUACGGGCAGACUAGAGUGCAGUAGGGGAGACUGGAACUCCUGGUGUAGCGGUGGAAUGCGCAGAUAUCAGGAAGAACACCGAUGGCGAAGGCAGGUCUCUGGGCUGUAACUGACGCUGAGAAGCGAAAGCAUGGGGAGCGAACAGGAUUAGAUACCCUGGUAGUCCAUGCCGUAAACGUUGGGCACUAGGUGUGGGGGACAUUCCACGUUUUCCGCGCCGUAGCUAACGCAUUAAGUGCCCCGCCUGGGGAGUACGGCCGCAAGGCUAAAACUCAAAGAAAUUGACGGGGGCCCGCACAAGCGGCGGAGCAUGCGGAUUAAUUCGAUGCAACGCGAAGAACCUUACCAAGGCUUGACAUAUACUGGACCGCAUCAGAGAUGGUGUUUCCCUUCGGGGCUGGUAUACAGGUGGUGCAUGGUUGUCGUCAGCUCGUGUCGUGAGAUGUUGGGUUAAGUCCCGCAACGAGCGCAACCCUCGUUCUAUGUUGCCAGCACGUUAUGGUGGGGACUCAUAGGAGACUGCCGGGGUCAACUCGGAGGAAGGUGGGGAUGACGUCAAGUCAUCAUGCCCCUUAUGUCUUGGGCUUCACGCAUGCUACAAUGGCCGGUACAGAGGGUUGCGAUACUGUGAGGUGGAGCUAAUCCCUAAAAGCCGGUCUCAGUUCGGAUUGGGGUCUGCAACUCGACCCCAUGAAGUCGGAGUCGCUAGUAAUCGCAGAUCAGCAACGCUGCGGUGAAUACGUUCCCGGGCCU